rnacentral:sRNA from 1 species
GAAUGUAAAGGCUAUCUGGCUGCGACAUCUGUCACCUCAUUGAUCGCCAGGGUUGACUCGGCUGAUCUGGCUGGCUAGGUAGGUGUCCUCUUUCUCCCUCACUGCAGCUUCAGGAGGGAUGCACCUGGAGCUGUGCUGCCCUGCUAGAACCUCAAAACAAGCUCUCAAGCAAAAAAAAAAAAAACAAUAAUUCUCAAAAGUAUAACUUUUGUGAACACAUCAGAGAGUAGAUGUUAUAGGACAGCUGGGUAUAAAAUAGAAGGAAUGACAGUUAUUCUCAGGGUGAGCCAGGAUGAACACUG